AGAGUUUGAUUCUGGCUCAGAACGAACGCUGGCGGCGUGGAUAAGACAUGCAAGUCGAACGCUGAUCGGGAGGUAGCAAUAUCGACCGGUCGGAGUGGCGCAAGGGUGCGUAACACGUGGGUAAUUUGCCGUGAAGUCUGGAAUAACUUGCUGAAAGGCAAGCUAAUGCCGGAUGAGAUCGCCGACGAGCAUUCGUUGGCGAUAAAAGUUGGGGUCGCAAGACCUGACGUUUCACGAUAAGCCCGCGGCCUAUCAGCUAGUUGGCGAGGUAAAGGCUCACCAAGGCUAAGACGGGUAGCUGGUCUGAGAGGACGACCAGUCACACUGGAACUGAGACACGGUCCAGACACCUACGGGUGGCAGCAGUCGAGAAUUUUUCACAAUGGGCGAAAGCCUGAUGGAGCGACGCCGCGUGGGGGAUGAAUGGCUUCGGCCCGUAAACCCCUGUCAUUUGCGAACAAUGCGUCCCCGUGAACAACGGGAGGCGUUGAUAGUAGCAGAAGAGGAAGAGACGGCUAACUCUGUGCCAGCAGCCGCGGUAAUACAGAGGUCUCAAGCGUUGUUCGGAUUUACUGGGCGUAAAGGGUGUGUAGGCGGUCGGGUAAGUCUGAAGUGAAAUCUCUAAGCUCAACUUAGAAAAUGCUUCGGAUACUAUCCGGCUAGAGGGUCGGAGAGGAGAUCGGAAUUCUCGGUGUAGCAGUGAAAUGCGUAGAUAUCGAGAGGAACAUCAGUGGCGAAGGCGGAUCUCUGGACGAAUCCUGACGCUGAGGCACGAAAGCCAGGGUAGCAAACGGGAUUAGAUACCCCAGUAGUCCUGGCUGUAAACGGUGCGCACUUGCUGUGAGCGGAUUCAAACCCGCUCGUGGCGAAGCUAACGCGAUAAGUGCGCCGCCUGGGAAGUACGGUCGCAAGAUUAAAACUCAAAGAAAUUGACGGGGGCCUGCACAAGCGGUGGAGUAUGUGGCUUAAUUCGAUGCAACGCGAAGAACCUUACCUAGCCUUGACAUGUGAGUAGUAGGAGCGUGAAAGCGCGACGAGGUAGCAAUACCAGUUCACACAGGUGCUGCAUGGCUGUCGUCAGCUCGUGUCGUGAGAUGUUGGGUUAAGUCCCGCAACGAGCGCAACCCCUAUGUCCAGUUGCCACCCGGCUACGGUCGGAGCACUUUGGACAAACUGCCUCGCUUAAACGGGGAGGAAGGUGGGGAUGACGUCAAGUCAGUAUGGCCCUUACGGCUAGGGCUGCACACGUACUACAAUGCCUAUUACAAUGGGGAGCGACCCGGCAACGGCGAGCAAAUCCUGAAAAGUAGGCCCAGUUCAGAUUGUCGUCUGCAAUUCGACGACAUGAAGUUGGAAUCGCUAGUAAUGGCGCAUCAGCUACGGCGCCGUGAAUACGUUCCCAGGCCUUGUACACACCGCCCGUCACAUCAUGAAGGCCGUUUGCACCCGAAAACACUGUGCCAUCUUCGGAAGCAUGUGACUAAGGUAUGAAUGGUGAUUGGGAUGAAGUCGUAACAAGGUA
rnacentral:rRNA from 1 species